CGGGACGACGCUGGCGGCGUGGAUUAGGCAUGCAAGUCGGACGGUAGGGCUUUAUCGUAAGAUAGAGUUUGAGAGUGGCGAACGGGUGAGUAACACGUAGGAAUCUACCCUUAAGACGGGGACAACCCAGGGAAACUUGGGCUAAUACCGGAUGAGAGUGCGAGAGAUUGCAUUUAAAAGGAUGGCGAAAGUUGUCGCUUAGGGAUGGACUCGCGGCCUAUCAGCUAGUUGGUGAGGUAAUGGCUCACCAAGGCGACGACGGGUAGCCGGCCUGAGAGGGCGACCGGCCACACUGGGACUGAGACACGGCCCAGACUCCUACGGGAGGCAGCAGUGGGGAAUAUUGCACAAUGGGCGAAAGCCUGAUGCAGCGACGCCGCGUGAGGGAUGACGGCCUUCGGGUUGUAAACCUCUUUCAGCAGGGAAGAAGCGAAAGUGACGGUACCUGCAGAAGAAGCACCGGCUAACUACGUG
rnacentral:rRNA from 1 species